GGGUUGUGAGGUUAAGCGACUAAGCGUACACGGUGGAUGCCCUGGCAGUCAGAGGCGAUGAAGGGCGUGCUAAUCUGCGAUAAGCGCCGGUAAGGUGAUAUGAACCGUUAUAACCGGCGAUACCCGAAUGGGGAAACCCAGUGUGAUUCGUCACACUAUCAUUAACUGAAUCCAUAGGUUAAUGAGGCGAACCGGGGGAACUGAAACAUCUAAGUACCCCGAGGAAAAGAAAUCAACCGAGAUUCCCCCAGUAGCGGCGAGCGAACGGGGAGGAGCCCAGAGCCUGAAUCAGCAUGUGUGUUAGUGGAAGCGUCUGGAAAGGCGCGCGAUACAGGGUGACAGCCCCGUACACAAAAGCGCAUGUGUUGUGAGCUCGAUGAGUAGGGCGGGACACGUGGUAUCCUGUCUGAAUAUGGGGGGACCAUCCUCCAAGGCUAAAUACUCCUGACUGACCGAUAGUGAACCAGUACCGUGAGGGAAAGGCGAAAAGAACCCCGGCGAGGGGAGUGAAAAAGAACCUGAAACCGUGUACGUACAAGCAGUGGGAGCACCCUUUGGGGUGUGACUGCGUACCUUUUGUAUAAUGGGUCAGCGACUUAUAUUCUGUAGCAAGGUUAACCGAAUAGGGGAGCCGGAGGGAAACCGAGUCUUAAUUGGGCGUUAAGUUGCAGGGUAUAGACCCGAAACCCGGUGAUCUAGCCAUGGGCAGGUUGAAGGUUGGGUAACACUAACUGGAGGACCGAACCGACUAAUGUUGAAAAAUUAGCGGAUGACCUGUGGCUGGGGGUGAAAGGCCAAUCAAACCGGGAGAUAGCUGGUUCUCCCCGAAAGCUAUUUAGGUAGCGCCUCGUGAAUUCAUCUCCGGGGGUAGAGCACUGUUUCGGCUAGGGGGCCAUCCCGGCUUACCAACCCGAUGCAAACUGCGAAUACCGGAGAAUGUUAUCACGGGAGACACACGGCGGGUGCUAACGUCCGUCGUGAAGAGGGAAACAACCCAGACCGCCAGCUAAGGUCCCAAAGUCAUGGUUAAGUGGGAAACGAUGUGGGAAGGCCCAGACAGCCAGGAUGUUGGCUUAGAAGCAGCCAUCAUUUAAAGAAAGCGUAAUAGCUCACUGGUCGAGUCGGCCUGCGCGGAAGAUGUAACGGGGCUAAACCAUGCACCGAAGCUGCGGCAGCGACACUAUGUGUUGUUGGGUAGGGGAGCGUUCUGUAAGCCUGUGAAGGUGUGUCGUGAGGCAUGCUGGAGGUAUCAGAAGUGCGAAUGCUGACAUAAGUAACGAUAAAGCGGGUGAAAAGCCCGCUCGCCGGAAGACCAA
rnacentral:rRNA from 1 species